UUUAUCUUUUCUUUUAAUUUUUAAUCUUUAAUUUUUCUAUCUUUUUAGGUAUAUCAAGUAAAUAUAAAUAUAAAUACAAAUAUGGCUCACAAGUGAAUUUUGCAAAAUUUCGUUUAGAGAAUACGAUUUCAUGAAAGAAUGUAUGUGGUAAUUUGAUUCGCAAUCGAAAAAGAAAGAAAGAGCCGGAAAGCGGAUGACUUUGUCGCAGCGACGAAAUCGAGUCUAUGGUAGAAGGGUUGGCAUUAACGAGACCGGCACGCAUUAGCUUUGCCCUGCAAUAUUAAACAGAGCACGAGUGUUUUCCACCAAACUUGGCCAGGACCGUACCAGCUAUCGAUUUUAACCCGUAGAAUGGACGAGGUCAUCUCUCUAUGCUCGUUUUCGUUUUGACGCGAGCUUUUUCUUUCUUAUCAACGUCUUUCCUCGAUAAGGAUACCAAUAUAUUUAAUAAGUAAAAUUCUCGAAAUAAUUGCUCAAAUAAUUUUCACAAGACACUGUGAUAAUUUUCACUCCUAAUCUAUUAAUGCAAAAUAACUCUUGAUGAUAAUUUUUAAAAGUUUUACUAUUAUCGAUUGGAGGCAUUUACAAUGUAUUUAGGAGAAAAUAUUCUCGAGAAUUUUUAUUUCUUAAAAAUCUAUUCUAUAGCCGUUAAAUUAUUCUCUCCUCGUCGAGAGUGUUUUUCUUUCUUCGUUUUUCUUUCUCAUUGUUACAUUUGGCAAAUUUUCAGUCGCUUAUGAAGCUUUAACGGAUUGCGCGGUCUGCACACCGGCUCGGGUCACGACGGGAGUAGAAGAUGAAAUAUUCAAGUGCUUUCCAUUAACGGGACCGGUUUAUACUUAUCAAGGCUAAAGUCAAAGGGGUGGUUCGGCCAGUCACGCUUCGGUAGAAAAUAAAGGGUAGCUGGUUUCUGCCUUUGCAACAUCGGACAGAUAGAAGGUGGACAAAAAGUGUCAAUCGUGUCGGCGGAUUGGUCGAUGGCCUACUGGAUUGUUUCAUCAAAUAGAAUUAUAUUAAUCAAAGAGAGCGGAAUAAAGAGCGGAAAAGAAAUGAACCGAAGUUGGCCGUGAUGGAUUACGGAUAACGGUUGAUGGACAAUGGACCCAGGAGAACAGGUCGGUAGAAAUAAGCGGAAGAGAGCGGGGUUGGUACAGCUCCCGUAUGGGGCGUAAUAGUUUAAUUCAUAUGUAAAUGGAGUGGCGAAGCACGGGAGAAAAGUCGCAGGACUACGUGGAAAUGGCGUUAGCCACGUCCUUUAUCCGUCUUCGUCCACUCUUUUUUGAUAUAUCUCUCAGACUCGAGAAAUUAUUUUUAAUUUUUACCUUACACCGUUCACGAAGCUUAAGUUUAAAAAAUUUUGGAUAUUGGAAAAUUUUUAUUACGCAAACUGAUAUACUUUUUUUAGAGUAUAAUCGCAGUGUAAUCAAGAAAGGAUAAGGACACGAUCAUUUACAAUUAAGACACGAGAGAAGAGAAAGAAGAGACUUGGAGACUAGAGCUAAGGACACAGAUACGUAGGAAGGAGUCAACGGCGGACACAGGUCCGGCAAUUAGUUUAACCGAACCGCGGCGAGCGGAUCAUCGUCGACAGAGAGUUUCGCGUAGUAUGUACGCCCGUCCGUAUACCGUGAUUUAUGUUUGCCAUACAUUACCCACCGAAUAAUCCCACGAAAGGGUAUACCGCGCGCGAGACAUCCCCCAGGCACGACGCCUAGCCCUUUCGUCGGAGGGUCGGUUACGCGACGCACACGCCGUUUAACCGCUACUCGCUGAUCGCUCUAUCUGUUUCAAUUAAAACUGCGCUCGUCACUCGCGUGGAACGCUGCUCGAGCCCAUGGAAAAAGAGUGGAAGAAAGAUUUUGAAUUAACGCGCGUCACCGAUUUCCAAGAAGAAAAAGAAGAAGACCAAAACACUCGUUUCGAGAUGCACCGCGAACAAUCGACAUCGCGACUUACUAGAUACAAGCGAUCACAAUUGCACGGUUUUAGAAAACAGGUAGCACAGUCUUUGUCCCCGAUGUUCCUUGCCAUUAACCGUCUGGAUUAGGCACUCGGGUUGCGCGAACCUCGCCCGUUACCUUCUCUCUAAAUGGCGGUACUCGGCGGAAGCAGUCAUUUGCGAUAAGGGCUCGUUUUCGCGCGAAGAACACGCCACGAACAUACGCCACUUUCUUUCGUUCCCUUGUAUCGUGCUGCAAGUGGCCGUGGAGAAGGGAGAAAUAGCGCGAAACGAGGGUGAAAAUAGCCGCGGAAAAACGGAUAUGGUCGCGGUGGCCUUGUCGGGUUGCAUUCGCGCGGCGCGCAUCCGUGGAGCGGUGGAGGGGGGAGGGAGUGGUGGGGCGGGGAGGAAGCGGCUCAAAGUUGGAGAAGAGGUACAAAGGAGUUGCGAUGGAGCGGGCGAUAUCGACUGCCGAGAGCGAAACGGAAGUGAAUAGCGACGUCACGGCCGAUGGUGCUUUCAAAGGGAGCGCAAGAUUUGGGCUAAGGCCGGUGACACGAGAUACGUUAAAGAUUUUUAACAAUAAUUUAAUGAUAAUUUUAAUAACAACCUCUUAAGUACUUGAGAGUGUGAAAUGAUCUGAAUAUUUUUGGCUGGUUAAGUGAAUAGCGACGUCACGGCCGAUGGUGCUUUCAAAGGGAGCGCAAGAUUUGGGCUAAGGCCGGUGACACGAGAUACGUUAAAGAUUUUUAACAAUAAUUUAAUGAUAAUUUUAAUAACAACCUCUUAAGUACUUGAGAGUGUGAAAUGAUCUGAAUAUUUUUGGCUGGUUAAGUAAUACCAGCAGGAUGAGAACACUGAUCAAUGAUCCAUCAUCGAUAGUCUAAGAAAAUUUACGUUGAUCAAUAAUACAUCGUUUAUCAUGAAUUCACAAGAGUCCAAGGAAACAUUUAAUCAAUAAUAAAUCGUCUAUUCGCGACGAAAGAAACGAACGAAUCAAAUUGAGAAUUUAUGUACGAGUAUCGAUAUUUAAGAAAAUUAAUAACUCGAGACAAAUGAAAGAAACGAUUUCCCCGAUUGACACGGGAGCAAAGUCAGAAUCGGGAUAAUACAUACGGUCUGGGUACUGUGGCGUGGCGGGGUGCGUUGCGAUCGAGCUAAGGCGCUGGGGAGCAAUUCCCUUAAAUGCCCUGUCGUCCGCAAAAAGCCACUUCGUGUAAAAAACAGCCCGGCUUGGUGCGUUCGUGCGAGUUCCCUCGUUCGGUCUAUCGCGUUUCGCCCUCUCUUUCUCCUUCUCCGGAUUAUAUUAGUCUUUAUGGCAUCGAUAAAGUGCACCGUCGAUUCCUCUACUUUUCCGCGGUUGCUCGACCCUCCUAUUCGACCCCGAUCGAGCGCCUCUUUCAGCCCACUGUCUGAAUUUGACGUUUCACUGACCUUCUCUGUGAUUUCCUUUUUUCUUUCUUUUUCUCCACCUCCAAGAGGUGAGGGGGAGAAGAGAGGGUUUUGAGUAAGAUUGCGAUUACCGAAAGUUCUCGAAAGUAAGUGAAAAUGUAUAAUGUAUAAGAGGGAGAAGUAUCGACUGCGUGUCUUUUUAAGAAAUUUUACAGAAUUUGGAUACGGAAACUCGCAUCGAACAAAAUAUUUUCUUAUCUAGAAAAAUAAUUUUUUUCAAAUCUUCAAAGAUCUCUUCCUGGAAAGAAUAAAAAUUAUCAUUAAAAUGAAUUAUUAUUACCGAUAUAUAUGCACGCUUAUUUAAUCACUUAUAUUUUUAUAUUGAAUCGAGACGAAUUAAUAUUACCGAUAUAUAUGCACGCUUAUUUAAAUCACUUAUAUUUUUAUAUUGAAUCGAGACGAAUCGGAUCGAACGUUUCUGGUCAACGUUUUUCAGACUCGUCAAUAAAAUCGGUUGGAAUCGAUGAUCUCGCGGUUGAAAUUGAACGAGCCGCGAUAUUUCCAAUAUUUGAAGCCACGACGGAAAUCGCAGUCGCUUCAGGAAAUGAAACGUGUGUCUAAUUUCCAAUGCUCGUUCUACGCCCGCGUAUAAUCACAUUCGUGUCCGCGUUCCCUUCCUACGACCCUUUUUCCGUGCACAGCGCGACCCAUCCAUCGCCUCAUCAUCGAAAUUCGCUCGUCUUUUGGUUGCACGAAAAAAAAAAAAAAAAGAAAAAAAGGAACAAAAAUGAAAAAGAAACGGCCAUUCUCCUUACUUAUCCUCGUUUAUUAUUAUCGAUCAGAUCGUUUACUUUGUAUAAGAGAGAACGAUAAAAUAAAUUAAAAAAUAUAACAUUCGUAUUAUUUCUAAAAAAAAAAAAAUUUUGAAUAAGGUGUAAACUUCAUCUAUCGAAUUAUUCCAUUCAAUGUUAUAUAUCAUUUUUUAUUGUACAAAUCUGUCGUAUAUAUACGUACAGAAAAGUUACGCACAAAAUAAUUAUCGAUAUUAUUAUUCGAUGUUAUUAUCGAUAUUGAAUUUUCAACAGAAAAAAAAAAAAAAUACGUAUCCAUUUUAUUCGAUAAAAAUUAUUUCAAAAAUUGUAAACGUACGAAUUGUCGCUUUCUCUCUUUCUCUCUCUCUCUCGCAGGCACGUUCCGCGCGUAAACAUCCAUUAACGUUUCUAUUUUGGAAGGGGAAGCAAGAGCAAGGAGAACAAAACAAGGGGAAAUCGUUGAUCGUUCGCCAUUGUCUCGUCGAUCCUCGCCGGCGAAACACCUCGAUCCGCCUUCCGUUUCCGUUACUUCGAUACACGUUCCAAGGUUGAUGGAAAGCGUACGCUGUUUCGCGAAUGGAAUCGACGGAUCGCGAGAAGGAGAGGAGGAAAUACCCAUCCUGCCCUCAUCCCACGCGUUAUAUGCGUAUGCGGUGGAAUGAAAGUGGCCGAUCCGCCGCAUUAUCGUCUAUCGAAAAAAUAUGAAUAAGCUUUCCAAUUUCCGACGUUUCGUGACAUUUCGCCGGGAGGAGGGUGGCCGGUGGCGGCGUUUUCAAUGAGACGAGAACGAUACAGCGGAACGCCAUCCGAUAUUUCGUUCGCCGCAUACGAGAUCUCACGCUUUUGCCAUGCGUGUCGGUAAGGAGGAGAGGUGGUUUUCUUUGUGGAUACACAAAGCUUCGCUCGAUAAUGGUAGGUAGACUCGUAAGUUUUAAGCAAGUGUGGUUAUGAUUGAUAUCUUUGAAUGAUAGUUUAGUUGUUACAUAUAUGAUCACGUAUGUGUGUACAAUAUGAGUAUAAUUUAGUUGGUUAUCAUUUCGCGCGUUUCUUAUCUUUCAUAAUGACAAGUUUAACGAAAUUUCGAGUUACGAUAAUUUUUACGAUUGAUAAAUAGUUUUGUAGAUUUUUUUUUAUAGAAAAUAACGAGUAAUAUAAUAUGUGAUAUAAUGAUA